ensembl:lncRNA
CUGUAACAUAGAGGCUUUCUACGGCACUAAAAAUGCUCUGUAUGAUACUAGAAUGAGGGACACAUGUCAUUAUACAUUUGGCCACACCAAUACAAAGUAUGACGCUAAGAGUGAGCCCUAAUGUAAACUAUGAGCUUUGGGUGAUUAUGAUGUGUUAAUGUAGGUUCAUCAAUUGUGACAAAUGUACCACUCUGGUGGGGGAUGUUAAUAAUGGAGAGGCUAUACUUGUAAGUAAUAUAAUGUAUGAAUAGGAUAAUGGUAAACAGCACAAAUGGCUAUAGAAUAAGAGACGAGAGAUUCCUUUUAAGAGCAAGCUUUGUGUAGACUUGGAAAAUAGAGCUUCAAUUGUCCAGAAAAUUUUAUAACAACUUGUGUCUACAAAUUUAAGUCAAAUUUUGACAUGGACGUUUUGCGGCAAGGACUCACGGCCUUUCAGCUACACUAGCUGAGAAACAGAGGCACAUCUGUGCUCCUUCCAAUAUGAGACAUUCAUCUUUCAAGCUGGACGACUGCAGCUGGUUGUGGAGUGAUCUACUCCUGGAGUUUGCAGCCAAAUGCAAAGUGGACCAGAGUAUUGGGAGCGGUUAAUGGCGAAAAAUAAAAGAAUGACGUUCGCUUAACAAGAAUUGAAGACAGUAAUAGUUCACAAAAGUGACAUGCCAACAAGGCAAAUUUGAAGGCUGGAAAGGAGGCACUGGUCAUAUAGUAAUGGAAAAUGUGGAAAACUCUGGUAUAUUUAUGGUUGGACUUUUUUGCCUUUGCAUAAUUAAUAGUAUUAGCAAAUAUUCUUCCUUGUGGGACGUAAAGAACACUUUUCUUCUGACCGUCAUGUAAUUUCUAAUUGUAAACAAAGAGCUUAACUAGUGCUUAUGUCCUUCCUUCACCAUGUAAUUUCAAUUGCUGAACACUAAAAAUGGUUUACCCAAGGGUGUGUGCAGAGACGCAGCCAGCCUAUAGAGGAGGCUCUAGGAAACACUCAUGCCCAUACCAUCUGGUCCCUGUUCUUCUGAAGAAGUAUGGGGUUUAUAGGGCACAGCAAGUGGGACCUUGACACACAGGCAUGGGUGGUAGGCUGGAAGACAAGAUGUCCUAACUCCUAUAUAUUCCCAUUCUGUUCUGAAGGAGGGAUUAUUCCAGUCCUAAAAACAAAAACAGUAUAUUGCCUAUGAUAGACAACUGGUUUAAAAAUAUUAAUUAUGGGGGCCUGCCUGGUGGUGUAGUGGUUAAGCUCAUGCACUCCACUUUGGUGGCUUGGGGUUCGCAGGUUUGGAUCCUGGCUGCAGACCUACACACUGCUUAUCAAGCCAUGCUGUGGUGGUAUCCCACAUGUAAAAUGGAGGAAGAUUGCCACAGUUGUUAGCUCAGGGACAAUCUUCCUCAAGUAAAAAAAAAAAAAGGAAUUAAUUAUGAAAGAUGCUAUUUAUUUCUCCUUUCAAUUACUUUCACUUUUUUGCUUGACCCUACUUAUUUUAUAUAAAAUAGGUAAAUAACCAAUUUACACCAUAGAAUUUUAGAAUGACAUUUAGAGUGCAUGUCCAGAUUCUGUGUUAGUUUUCUUUCAUGAUCACUGCCUUGGUUAUCUUUAUGAAAUAAUUGUCUCUAGGUGGCAGCAUUUCAAGCCUUUAUCAUACAUAUUUUAAAAUAUGCAGAACGAGGUGUUCCUGAGUGUGGCUACUGAUGAUUUGGGGGCAGCUUGGUAAGACUGCCUAAUUUGCUGUGACAAAUCCAGGACUUGUUGAAUUUUCAGGGCACAUUUGGCAUUAAUCGAAACCAAACUGGCAGGAAAACAACUGCCCACAAAAUAAAAUAAGGCUGGGUUUUUGUUCACAGCUGAGCUUUCCAAGGAUCAGCAGUGUGAUUUUCCAUCCACCACUCUCCCUAGAACUCUGGUGGAAAGAAAACCUUUCCCAGCCAUUCUUCUCAGUGUGUGUGAGUGCGAAGAGCAUUCUCUGCAGCAGGUCUGUGCAGCUUCCUAACCAGUUUAGCAAAGGGGAGCAAUGCAGCCUUGGCCCUGGGCUGCAUGCCCUGGACAAUGCCAGAUUGGAUGCCUAUCAUUACAACUAGCAUUUAUUGACUGCUUAUUAUGUACCAGCUUCAAGUUAUUCACUUUACACAUGCUUAUGGAUUUAUUCCUCCCAAUAACCUUAACAGGUAGGCACUGCCAUUCUCCAUUUUGCAAAUGAAAUACUAAGGCACAGAGAGGGUAAGUGAUUUUGUCCAAGGUAACACAGCUAGAAAAGUGGCAGAACUGGGAUUUGAACUCAACCAUUGUGCUCCAGAGAUUUGGCACUUAUCUAUCAUGCUAUGCUGUAUGGUCCUAGCCAGGAAAAGGCCCGGAGAGAGGGAGAAAAGUAUAGCAGAAGUAUAGUGUAGCUUUAUUGGGCUUAGGGGAGAAACAUCACUUCUUUAUGCUCAAGGCUCUGUGGAGUAUUCUUCUGAAGGUGUUGAGUCUGCUUUCUGACUUGGUAAUUAAAUUCAGUUCAGCAUACAUUUAUUGAGUGCCUCCUACGACCUAGGAAUCAUGGGAGUAUCCCUAGGUGCUAGGGACAGAAAGACAGGUAAGAUACAGAUAAGACUCUGCACUAAGUCUUAGAAAGAUGCUCUUUAUUUCAUAAAUGUCCUCAGGUGGCAAUUCUUUGCUGAUGUCCUUGAAGCAGCAGAACAACACAG